GGAUGCGAUCAUACCAGCACUAAAGCACCGGAUCCCAUCAGAACACUGAAGUUAAGCGUGCUUGGGCGAGAGUAGUACUAGGAUGGGUGACCUCCUGGGAAGUCCUCGUGUUGCAUUCC
rnacentral:rRNA from 2 species